ACGCUCGACACCUACGGAGGCAGCAGUGGGGAAUAUUGCACAAUGGGGGAAACCCUGAUGCAGCGACGCCGCGUGAGCGAAGAAGUAUUUCGGUAUGUAAAGCUCUAUCAGCAGGGAAGAAAAUGACGGUACCUGACUAAGAAGCCCCGGCUAACUACGUGCAAGCAGCCGCGGUAAUCUGAGCGGGCUGGCAAGGC
rnacentral:rRNA from 1 species